rnacentral:tRNA from 1 species
GAGGUUAUAGCUCAGUGGUAGAGCGUUUGCUUAGCAAGCACAAGGUCCUGGGUUCAAUCCCCAGUACUGCCA